CCAACAAACUCAGAUUCCAUCAGACACUAAAAAUAAAUGAGCCUUGCAUCAUGCCCUGAAGGUCAAGAGACAGGCUCUGAUGGACUCCCAAGUGAAGUGAACUCCCGAAGCAAGGGUCCUCAACCAUGGAGGUUCCACUGCCACGAGUGCACCUGCAGCAGCACAAAGUGUUCAAAUACAGAGAUAGGACCAUCCGGGUCUGGAGGGAAGUCAUCCCUCCUUUCCAAAGUAUUGCAAGGUGGCCCCUCAGGUGUGUAUCACUCCUAUGAGAUGGGAAAGAAGCAGGAUCAUAAAGUAGAUGCUGGAGCAUUAUAUUGAGGACCCAUUAAAUCCGAUCCUAGCAGCGUGAGCACACUGCAGCCAAAGCACAAGGUUGUGCUGAUCAGAACUCCAAUGGCUCCAUCUGAUUUUCGGCAAAGACAAACAGGAAUGCUUUCUUUUCUACUUGACUCAAAUAUAUGAAGCACAUCAGAAAGCUGAGUACCUGAGGAGCACAGAAGAAAGCACUGCCCAAGUGAGAAACAUUGGUAAGGACUUGCUGUGCUGGGUUCUGCAGGAUUCUGACCUCUUUGGUGGGCUGAGAAGCAACUUCCUGGGGCUCUUCUCCUCUUUGUUCUUUUGAUUCCACAAGACAAAGUAUGGCAAAAAACUAGUGGUGGUACUUCCCCAGACACCAAACUCUCAUGACAAAGUGUGAUGUCACCCUCAGAUUGCACAGAUCAUCCCUCUCCUUUCUUACUUACUUUAAUCAGCAGUGAAAUAGUUAAUAAUGCUGAUAUUUCAAUCUCGCUUUUCCCCAAUAACAGCUGCAGGUUGGCAUGGCUAAAUCUCUCACUGACACAGAAAACAUCCACUUAAGUAAACAGUGCAUUAAGGGAAGGGUGGAGUAUUUUCAGAUCGACACUGUGCUUUUAAUUAAAUGUGCAGCACUUAGGUAUUAGUGAUGGUUGCUUAUAAAUACACAGACAGCUGCAAUUUGAAGAGAAGGGUAAAAAAUAUGCACUUGGUAACUGGAACUGUCAGCUACAUAACAUUGUCUCAAAGAUGAAAAUACUAAGUGGUUUAGUAAAUGGGUGUUUUUAAAAGGCAGCAAGGUAAAAAGAUGGGCAGGCUUGGGAUAAAUUUAAGACUGCAAACAAUUUAGAUGGCCAGACUGCUAAAAAGAAAGCUGUGCAGUGACAGAAAGCAUCAGAAAUGCUCCCAAAAGACAGUAGCAAAUACAAAAUUGAUGUAGGUGUAAACAAAAAGUAGUCUACUGUCAACACCUUUGGUUUGUGUAUUAUACUUGGCUGACGAUUCAGUGCAAAAUUAAGUGAACAAAAUUAAUUUUUCCCUUUAUUGUGAUCCCGGUAUCUUAUGAGUUUCUUGAAUUCAAAUGCAUUUUCCAUUCAAAUGCAUAUUUACAUUUGACUCUUGUGGAAAUAAUUAGUCUUAUUUCCUACAAAUGCAGUUUCAGAUAAACUGAAGAAAAUCUAGAUUUUUGUAGUCUGUCUAGUGUCUUCAACCACAGAUAUAAUCUAUUUGGAUUUUUAAAAGAUAUUUCUGAAACUGAGAAGUUACACAGGCUUUGUUCCCAGAUGCCAUCAGGUAAAUGAUACACAUUUUGUAUGCAAACAAUUAUUUUAUUUGCAUCUUGGCAUUAACAUGACAUUUGAGUGGGGUCAGCAGCUUGUUUUUACAAGAUAUAGUAUUUUCAAAAGGACCAAGAAGAGUCAGAUAUCAAAUCUAUUUUUAUUGCCCUUAGUUUGCCCAAAUACACAAAUUGUGCCUAUUCACUUGAUGGUGUCCCUUUUAACAUUAUCCACAGGUCAUCAUGUGAGAUACACCAAAUUUAGAACAACUAGCAAAUAGUACAAUAUUGGUAAAGGAUACUGACAAAGCAGAAUCUCACUAAUUUUUAAAUGUAGAGAGUCAAAAGGAUAAAUGAGUUUGUAAGUAAAAAAAAAACCUCAAUUAUCCCUUUGGGAAACCUGUUGCAUGCAAGAUUAAUUUUCAAAAUAUAUUCCAUGGAAUCUCAAAAGGUGUGACAAGUGCAUGCAGGGAAAAACUUGCAACAACAAAUCCUAUACCAAAACACAUUUAAUGGAGUUAUGCAAACAAAGUUAUCAUAAUUCUCAAACGAGUAGUUAAUUUUAACAAAGUCCCUGAAUCCUAUGUUUCCAAACUUUUCAAAGAUUUGGUUGGUCAGCAGAACCCGAUCAAAUAAAAGACAAAUACAAGACAUUUAAUUUAAAACAAGGGCUGUAAAAAUAGUUAUUAGUGAAGUGGUUGUGUCACUAAAAGCCUUUUUUCAGAUAAUGAAGGAUGUACUUCAUUCCAAGAUGUCUGCUGAGGUGGUAUUUUAUCUCAUUGUGCAAAUGCAGCAUUUUACCAGCAGAACCAAAUGCUGUGUUGCAUAAAGCUAAUUUAACACAGUGCUUCUACAAGCCCAAUAAAUAAGCAUACAAAUUUUACUGAAGGCUAAUAUCAACCAUUUAAAAACAUACAUUAGCAAACCGGGCUAUGCCAUACUACAGCAGAAAGCACAGUCUAAGAAAGAUAGGCAUCCUGGGGAAGUUAUCUGCUUCUCUUAUUGUAAGUGCAAGUCAAGCGAGCAAGUAAUAAAAAUGUUUCAAAAUCAAUUUUAUAACAGUUGAAAAACUAAUGCAAUUUUAUUGUGUUUUAUAACUGUAAUGAAUAAUAGCAUGCUGAAUUGGGAAAUUCUUAAGAAACUACUAAUGGGAGUCCGUGCUUUGGUAGUCAGCUUUCACAUUUAAAAUGUAUUAGAAACAUUCUAGGAGCUCUUUCCAGAUGCCACUCAAUGCAGUGUGUAAGUCCCUUCCAAUCUGAAGAACAAAGAUUCAACAAUGCAACAGUUCAGGUAACAUGAAAAAAAAGUCACUCUGCCAACUGUUCGGCAAUUGCAUAAUGUGGCAGCAAUUAUUUCUUG